GACGAACGCUGGCGGUGUGCUUAACACAUGCAAGUCGAACGGUAAGGCCCUUUCGGGGGUACACGAGUGGCGAACGGGUGAGUAACACGUGAGUAACCUGCCCUCAUCUCUGGGAUAACAGUCGGAAACGGUUGCUAAUACUGGAUAUGAGCUUGCAAGGCAUCUUGUGGGUUGGAAAGAUUUUUUUUGGUUGGGGAUGGACUCGCGGCCUAUCAGCUUGUUGGUGAGGUAGUGGCUCACCAAGGCUUCGACGGGUAGCCGGCCUGAGAGGGCGACCGGCCACAUUGGGACUGAGAUACGGCCCAAACUCCUACGGGAGGCAGCAGUGGGGAAUAUUGCACAAUGGACGGAAGUCUGAUGCAGCAACGCCGCGUGCGGGAUGACGGCCUUCGGGUUGUAAACCGCUUUCAAUUGUGGCGAAGCUUUUUUGUGACGGUAGCAGUAGAAGAAGCACCGGCUAACUACGUG
rnacentral:rRNA from 1 species